CAGGGGUGCAGUGUGUGUGUGAGUGUGCUGUGAGUGUCAGGGUGCAGUGUGUGUGUGUGUGUGAGUGCAGUGUGUGUGUGUGUGUGUGCUGUGAGUGUCAGGGGUGCAGUGUGUGUGUGUGUGCUGUGAGUGUCAGGGGUGCAGUGUGUGUGUGUGUGCUGUGAGUGUCAGGGGUGCAGUGUGUGUGUGUGUGUGUGCUGUGAGUGUCAGGGGUGCAGUGUGUGUGUGUGCUGUGAGUGUCAGGGGUGCAGUGUGUGUGUGUGUGUGUGAGUGUCAGGGGUGCAGUGUGUGUGUGUGUCUGUGUGAGUGUGUGUGUG